rnacentral:rRNA from 1 species
GACGAACGCUGGCGGCGUGCCUAAUACAUGCAAGUUGAGCGCUGAAGGUUGGUACUUGUACCAACUGGAUGAGCAGCGAACGGGUGAGUAACGCGUGGGGAAUCUGCCUUUGAGCGGGGGACAACAUUUGGAAACGAAUGCUAAUACCGCAUAAAAACUUUAAACACAAGUUUUAAGUUUGAAAGAUGCAAUUGCAUCACUCAAAGAUGAUCCCGCGUUGUAUUAGCUAGUUGGUGAGGUAAAGGCUCACCAAGGCGAUGAUACAUAGCCGACCUGAGAGGGUGAUCGGCCACAUUGGGACGGAGACACGGCCCAAACUCCUACGGGAGGCAGCAGUAGGGAAUCUUCGGCAAUGGACGAAAGUCUGACCGAGCAACGCCGCGGGAGUGAAGAAGGUUUUCGGAUCGGAAAACUCUGUUGGUAGAGAAGAACGUUGGUGAGAGUGGAAAGCUCAUCAAGUGACGGUAACUACCCAGAAAGGGACGGCUAACUACGU